GACGUAGGGCGCGAGCGUUGUCCGGAAUUAUUGGGCGUAAAGAGCUUGUAGGCGGUUUGUCGCGUCUGCUGUGAAAUUUCGGGGCUCAACCCCGAACUUGCAGUGGGUACGGGCAGACUAGAGUGUGGUAGGGGAGACUGGAAUUCCUGGUGUAGCGGUGAAAUGCGCAGAUAUCAGGAGGAACACCGGUGGCGAAGGCGGAUCUCUGGGCCUUACCUGACGCUCAGGCGCGAAAGCUAGGGGAGCGAACAGG
rnacentral:rRNA from 1 species